rnacentral:rRNA from 1 species
GAUGAACGCUGGCGGCGUGCCUAAUACAUGCAAGUCGAACGAACAGACGAGGAGCUUGCUCCUCGGACGAUUGCGGCAGGCGUGUGAGUAACACGUGUAUCCCCUACCUAUGCGAGUGGGAUAACUUCGGGACACCGGAUCUAAUACCGUAACAUAUAUUGUACCGUAUGGUUCAAUUAUAAAAGACGGUUUUGCUGUUACUUAUAGAUGGAGCCGUGCAGGAUUAGCUAGUUGGGAAGGUAACGGCCUAACAAGGCGACGAUUCGUAGCCGACCUGGGGGGGUGAUCGGCCACCCUGGAACUGAGCCAGGGCCCAGAGUCCUAGGGGAGGAGGCAGUGGGGAACCUUGCGCAAGGGGCGAAAGCCGGACGGAGCAACGCCGCGGGGGUGAUGAAGGUCUUCGGAUCGUAAAACUCUGUUAUAAGGGAAGAACAAAUGUGGAAUUAACUAUGCACGUCUUGACGGUACCUAAUCAGAAAGCCACGGCUAACUACGUG